rnacentral:lncRNA from 1 species
CUGAUUCUCGAGAUACAGCUGAGUGAUCUUCUUUUCUUGCUCAAGAAGUCGGGAAAUCUCGUCAGGAAUCCCUUCAACAUCUUCUUCUUCCGCUUUGAAUACAGGGAAUUCAAAAUUGGGAGAUGACGUCAGAUCAUUAUGUUCAAUGGGUUUAAGAAUCAACCUGCAUAAUGAUUUUGAUAUGAAAAGCUUUUUUGGAAAUCAAACAAGACAAUC